rnacentral:rRNA from 1 species
CCUACGGGCGGCAGCAGUGAGGAAUAUUGGUCAAUGGACGCAAGUCUGAACCAGCCAUGCCGCGUGCAGGAUGACGGCUCUAUGAGUUGUAAACUGCUUUUGUACGAGGGUAAACGCCGAUACGUGUAUAGGGGUGAAAGUAUCGUACGAAUAAGGAUCGGCUAACGCCGUGCCAGUAGGCGCGGGAAGACGGAGGAGCCGAGCGUUAUCCGGAUUUAUUGGGUUUAAAGGGUGCGUAGGCGGUUUGAUAAGUUAGAGGUGAAAUGGCGGGGCUAAACCCCGAAACUGCCUCUAAUACUGUUGGACUAGAGAAUAGUUGCGGUAGGCGGAAUGUAUGGUGUAGCGGUGAAAUGCUUAGAGAUCAUACAGAACACCGAUUGCGAAGGCAGCUUACCAAACUAUAUCUGACGUUGAGGCACGAAAGCGUGGGUAGCAAACAGGAUUAGAUACCCCAGUAGUC